AUUGAACGCUGGCGGCAUGCCUUACACAUGCAAGUCGAACGGCAGCACGGGAGCAAUCCUGGUGGCGAGUGGCGAACGGGUGAGUAAUAUAUCGGAACGUGCCCAGUCGUGGGGGAUAACGUAGCGAAAGCUACGCUAAUACCGCAUACGAUCUAUGGAUGAAAGCGGGGGAUCGCAAGACCUCGCGCGAUUGGAGCGGCCGAUAUCAGAUUAGGUAGUUGGUGAGGUAAGGGCUCACCAAGCCGACGAUCUGUAGCUGGUCUGAGAGGACGACCAGCCACACUGGGACUGAGACACGGCCCAGACUCCUACGGGAGGCAGCAGUGGGGAAUUUUUGGACAAUGGGCGCAAGCCUGAUCCAGCAAUGCCGCGUGCAGGAUGAAGGCCUUCGGUUGGUUAACG
rnacentral:rRNA from 1 species